UUUAGAGGUAACUCCCUUUUUCUGCCAGGGGCCAUGGAGAACCCACAGAAAGGCACUAAGAUGAGAAAUACUACUAUAAAGCUGUCCUCGAAUUGGUUCUG